rnacentral:rRNA from 1 species
UACAGAGGUCCCGAGCGUUGUUCGGAUUCACUGGGCGUAAAGGGUGCGUAGGUGGUGAGGUAAGUCGGAUGUGAAAUCUCCAAGCUCAACUUGGAAAUGGCAUUGGAAACUACCUUGCUGGAGGUUUGGAGGGGGGACUGGAAUUCUCGGUGUAGCGGUGAAAUGCGCAGAUAUCGGGAGGAACACCAGUAGCGAAGGCGGCUCGCUGGGCCAUUCCUGACGCUGAGACGCGAAAGCUAGGGGAGCGAACAGG